UACGAAGGGGCUAGCGUUGCUCGGAAUCACUGGGCGUAAAGCGCACGUAGGCGGCUUUCUAAGUCAGGGGUGAAAUCCUGGAGCUCAACUCCAGAACUGCCUUUGAUACUGAAGAUCUUGAGUCCGGGAGAGGUGAGUGGAACUGCGAGUGUAGAGGUGAAAUUCGUAGAUAUUCGCAAGAACACCAGUGGCGAAGGCGGCUCACUGGCCCGGUACUGACGCUGAGGCACGAAAGCGUGGGGAGCAAACAGG
rnacentral:rRNA from 1 species